ACGCGAAAGUCUCUUCGGAGAUGAGUAGAGUGGCGCACGGGUGAGUAACGCGUGGAUAAUCUACCUAUUGGUACGGGACAACAGUUGGAAACGACUGCUAAUACCGUAUAAGCUGGAAACGGGAAAGGGGGCCUCUUCUUGAAAGCUCUCGCCAGUAGAUGAGUCCGCGUUUCAUUAGCUAGACGGUGGGGUAACGGCCUACCGUGGCAACGAUGAAUAGCAGGCCUGAGAGGGUGGCCUGCCACACUGGGACUGGAACACGGCCCAGACUCCUACGGGAGGCAGCAGUGGGGAAUAUUGCGCAAUGGACGAAAGUCUGACGCAGCGACGCCGCGUGGAGGAUGAAGGUUUUCGGAUCGUAAACUCCUGUCAAGAGGGAAGAAACCUAUUAAGAAUAAUACUCUUAGUAAUUGACGGUACCUCUAGAGGAAGCACCGGCUAAUUCAGUGCCAGCAGCCGCGGUAAUACUGAAGGUGCAAGCGUUAAUCGGAAUCACUGGGCGUAAAGCGCUCGUAGGUGGCUUUGUAAGUCAGAUGUGAAAGCCCACGGCUCAACCGUGGAAUUGCAUUUGAUACUGCAUCGCUAGAGUAUAGGAGAGGGAAGUGGAAUUUCUGGUGUAGGAGUGAAAUCCGUAGAGAUCAGAAGGAACACCGGUGGCGAAGGCGACUUCCUGGACUAUUACUGACACUGAGGAGCGAAAGCGUGGGGAGCAAACAGGAUUAGAUACCCUGGUAGUCCACGCCGUAAACGAUGGGUACUAAGUGUCGGAGGCUUGACCUUCGGUGCUGUAGUUAACGCGUUAAGUACCCCGCCUGGGGAGUACGGUCGCAAGGCUGAAACUCAAAGAAAUUGA
rnacentral:rRNA from 1 species